AAAUGUCAAAGGGCCCACCACUUUUGUUGCGGGAUAUAGAGGGAGGGAAUUAAGAGACCUAUUGUUAAACUCAACAGGUCUCUUAUGUGUGUAAGGGCCCACCAUGACCCUCACCUUCAGUGGCGUCCCCCUAUUUUCAAAAAAAAAAAUUAAAAAAAAACAAAAGAAAAAAAACAAGAGCCUAAGACAUAAAGAAGAAAACAAAAACUAAACCCUAACUUUUCAAUUUUCAGUUUCUCUCUCUUCGAAGGCGGAAGGUCUCCAGGUCGCCAUUGAUUCGUCGUCACUGUUCGCCGUGCGUGGGGUUUCAGGCGAAAGCUCGGCCAGACGCUGCUUCCACUGGCUGCUUCGCAAAUCUCAAAUCUCAAGUUAACAAGUUCGCAUUUCGCAAAUCUCCAGUUCGUUGUUCGCACUUCGCAAAUUCAAUUAGCCAAUUCACCCAAAUCAAUUAAUCAAUGGAGUUUUGAAUUUUGAACUGAGUCCGCCGCUCUCGCUCGUCGGCUCCACUCCCAGCACUCCGUCCCUCCGUCCUUCGAGUCGCCGUCGUCGCUGCUUCGUGAUUCACUGCUUCGUCCGUUCGUCUGCUCGUCGCUGGACUCGCUGAUCUCCAUUCAACUUUGCUCACUUCGCUAAAUCGCUAGACCCAAUUCACAGAGGAUGAGCAAUUCAAGAAACUCGCUAAGCUGAUAAAUGGAGGGCUAAAGAAUUACCCAUGAUGUGUUGUAUUCACUUGCCGCAUAAAAUGAUAGGACUGUUGUUGGUUUUGGUAACUUGUAAAUUAUUUCCAAAAGUUCUUAUAUACUUGUAAAUUAUUUCUAUAAGUUCUUGUAUACUUGUAAACUAUUUCUAUAAGUUCUUAUAUACUUGUAAAUUAUUAUUCUUCUUAUUUA